GACGAACGCUGGCGGCGUGCUUAACACAUGCAAGUCGAACGGAAAGGCCCUGCUUUUGUGGGGUGCUCGAGUGGCGAACGGGUGAGUAACACGUGAGUAACCUGCCCUUGACUUUGGGAUAACUUCAGGAAACUGGGGCUAAUACCGGAUAGGAGCUCCUGCUGCAUGGUGGGGGUUGGAAAGUUUCGGCGGUUGGGGAUGGACUCGCGGCUUAUCAGCUUGUUGGUGGGGUAGUGGCUUACCAAGGCUUCGACGGGUAGCCGGCCUGAGAGGGUGACCGGCCACAUUGGGACUGAGAUACGGCCCAGACUCCUACGGGAGGCAGCAGUGGGGAAUAUUGCACAAUGGGCGGAAGCCUGAUGCAGCAACGCCGCGUGCGGGAUGACGGCCUUCGGGUUGUAAACCGCUUUCGCCUGUGACGAAGCGUGAGUGACGGUAAUGGGUAAAGAAGCACCGGCUAACUACGUGCCAGCAGCCGCGGUGAUACGUAGGGUGCGAGCGUUGUCCGGAUUUAUUGGGCGUAAAGGGCUCGUAGGUGGUUGAUCGCGUCGGAAGUGUAAUCUUGGGGCUUAACCCUGAGCGUGCUUUCGAUACGGGUUGACUUGAGGAAGGUAGGGGAGAAUGGAAUUCCUGGUGGAGCGGUGGAAUGCGCAGAUAUCAGGAGGAACACCAGUGGCGAAGGCGGUUCUCUGGGCCUUUCCUGACGCUGAGGAGCGAAAGCGUGGGGAGCGAACAGGCUUAGAUACCCUGGUAGUCCACGCUGUAAACGGUGGGUACUAGGUGUGGGGUCCAUUCCACGGGUUCCGUGCCGUAGCUAACGCUUUAAGUACCCCGCCUGGGGAGUACGGCCGCAAGGCUAAAACUCAAAGGAAUUGGCGGGGCCCCGCACAAGCGGCGGAGCAUGCGGAUUAAUUCGAUGCAACGCGUAGAACCUUACCUGGGUUUGACAUGGAUCGGGAGUGCUCAGAGAUGGGUGUGCCUCUUUUGGGGUCGGUUCACAGGUGGUGCAUGCCUGUCGUCAGCUCGUGUCGUGAGAUGUUGGGUUAAGUCCCGCAACGAGCGCAACCCUUGUUCACUGUUGCCAGCACGUUAUGGUGGGGACUCAGUGGAGACCGCCGGGGUCAACUCGGAGGAAGGUGGGGAUGACGUCAAGUCCUCAUGCCCCUUAUGUCCAGGGCUUCACGCAUGCUACAAUGGCUGGUACAGAGAGUGGCGAGCCUGUGAGGGUGAGCGAAUCUCGGAAAGCCGGUCUCAGUUCGGAUUGGGGUCUGCAACUCGACCUCAUGAAGUCGGAGUCGCUAGUAAUCGCAGAUCAGCAACGCUGCGGUGAAUACGUUCCCGGGGCU
rnacentral:rRNA from 1 species